rnacentral:RNase_P_RNA from 1 species
CUGGGCAGCUACGGGGGUAGGCGGCCGGUGCCGCACUAUUCUCGAGGAAAGUCCGGACUCCGCAGAGCAGGGUGCUGGAUAGCGUCCAGCGGGGGAAACCCCAGGGAAAGUGCCACAGAAAUGACACAGCCCGCGCAGGGCACGCGCCCUGGGCGGGCAACGGUGAAAUGGUGCGGUAAGAGCGCACCGGCGUCGUGGUGACACGGCGGCCAGGUAAACCCCACCCGGAGCAAGGCCGCAAAGGGAAGCGCUUGAGGGCUGCUCGUCCGAUGCUUACGGGUUGGCCGCACGAGGCGCACGGUAACGUGCGUCCCAGAUGGAUGGCUGUCCUCGACAGAAUCCGGCUUAUAGGGCU